CAACAUUCCAACAUAGGUGUAAAUUCUUCUGAGCCACACAGUUCUAAAGACUCCUCAGCUAAAACUUCUCCACAAGGCAAAGGAGCCACCUUAGUAUCAACCAAAAUUCCUGGUGCUAAUUACGAUCCAUCAAAGGAAAAAUAUCAUCCAAUCGAUGACGCAACUUGGAAACAGAAUGAAAAAGUUCCUUAUAUGGCCCUUGCUUGUACAUUGACUGCUAUCGAAGGAGUCUCUGCAAGACUGAAAAUGAUCAGUAUACUAGCCAACUAUUUCCGAUCUGUGAUUGUCCUCUCUCCAGAAGACCUUUUGCCUAGUGUUUACAUGUGUUUGAAUCAACUCGGGCCAGCUUAUGCUGGCAUCGAACUUGGAGUUGCAGAAACCUAUUUAAUGAAGGCUAUAGCUCAGUGCACAGGGCGGUCAGUACCUCAGAUCAAAUCUGACGCAGAGAAAUUUGGUGAUUUAGGAAUCGUCGCUGAACAGAGUCGAAGUAAUCAGAGGAUGAUGUUUCAACCUGCACCUUUAACCGUGAGAGGUGUUUUUGAGAAGAGGAAGGAUAUUGCUUUAAUGACUGGACAUGCUACAAUGUCAAAGAAAAUAGAUAAAAUUCAAAGUAUGUUCGUAGCCUGCCGACACACAGAAGCCAGAUUUUUAAUACGAUCAUUUGCUGGGAAACUAAGGAUUGGCCUAGCUGAACAAUCGGUGCUUCAGGCAUUAGCGUCGGCGUGCACAAACACACCUCCAAAUCAAGAAUAUCCGCCAGAAAAAAUAUCCGUAGCUCAAGUCCUCAAAACUACAUACUGUGAAUGUCCAAAUUAUGACAUGAUAAUUCCUGUUAUUCUUAAACACGGUAUCAAAGCUCUACCGGAACACUGCAAAUUAACCCCUGGAAUUCCGCUGAAACCCAUGUUGGCUCAACCUACCAAAGGUGCUAGUGAAGUACUCACCCGGUUUGAAGGACUCAAGUUCACAUGUGAAUACAAGUAUGAUGGAGAAAGAGCCCAGAUUCACUUACAAGAAGAUGGCAAAAUUAGUAUUUACAGUCGGAAUCAAGAAAACAACACUUCAAAAUAUCCAGACAUCAUAUCAAGGCUGAAGGCGGCCUUGGGUCCUGAAGUCAAAUCGUGUGUCCUAGACACCGAGUCAGUAGCAUGGGAUAGAGAAAAUAAGAAAAUUAUGCCUUUCCAAGUACUCAGUACACGUAAAAAGAAGGAUGCUAAUGAGGCUGAUAUCAAAGUUCAAGUUUGUGUAUUUAUGUUUGAUUUGCUGUAUUUAAAUGGGAAGCCACUCAUUCGAGAGCCAUUCAUCGAAAGGAGACGAUUAUUAAGGGAAAAUUUCAAAGAGGUCGAAGAGCAGUUUCUUUUCGCAAAAUCAUUAGAUACUAAUGUAUUAGAAGAAAUGCAAGAAUUCCUUGAGGAGUCUGUAAAAGGUAACUGCGAAGGGUUAAUGGUGAAAACAUUAGAAGAAGAGGCAACAUAUGAAAUAGCUAAACGAUCAAGAAACUGGUUAAAGCUAAAAAAAGAUUACCUUGACGGCUGCGGUGAUACUUUAGAUGUAGUCGUGAUCGGUGGAUAUCUUGGCCGCGGCAAACGGACCGGAGUCUAUGGAGGCUUCUUGCUCGCUUGCUACGAUGCUGACAACGAAGAAUAUCAGAGUAUAUGUAAAAUUGGCACCGGUUUCUCGGAUGAAAUGUUGGUGCAACACUCAGAGUUCCUAAAGAAUCACAAGAUCAAUGAGCCGAAAUCCUAUUACCGCUAUGAUUCGUCAUUAGAGCCGGAUCAUUGGUUUGAUGCUGUCCAAGUCUGGGAAAUCAAGUGUGCCGAUCUUUCGUUAUCUCCCAUUCAUCGAGCAGCAAUUGGAAUUGUUGAUCCAGAAAAAGGUAUUUCUUUGAGGUUUCCAAGGUUCCUGAGGAUCCGUGACGACAAAUCAGCUGAAGAUGCCACUAAUGCUCAGCAGGUUGCAGAUCUGUACAAAAAUCAAGAUCAAAUAAAGAACCAAGAAGGACAGGGUAAAAAAGUUUCAGAGGAAGAUUUUUAUUAAUUCUCAUUUGUUAUUUUUCGGUUUUAUACCUGAGAAAAGACUGAAAGAAAGUGUGCAAAUGUUUUAACUGCAAUUGGCCGUAAGUAAAGUUAUUUUCAUUUUUUUUUAACGUCUCUCAUAUUUUGCUAAUUCAAAUUAAAUGUUUAUGUGUAAAUAUUUUAACUAGGUUUUCCCACAAAUUCAAGUCAUCUUCAAAAUUGUUUUGAGUAUCUCUCAUUUUUUGCCCAUUCAAAUUAAAUGUUGUAAUAAUAUAAGUAUAAAUAGAAAAAAUAAAAACUUAUGAAUAGAAAUUCCUAAGCGUUUU
rnacentral:lncRNA from 1 species